CUCUCUUUUCUUUCUGCAGAUGGGCUACAGUCCCACUCCCUAUUAUGUAGAUAGCAGAAGGAAAGGGGCUCCUUCUACAUUAUGUCUUAGGUCUGGCAACUUCUCAUCUACCAGUUCUAUUCCCAAGCAUGGGACAUGA
ensembl:snoRNA